CCUACGGGAGGCAGCAGUGAGGAAUAUUGGUCAAUGGACGCGAGCCUGAACCAGCCAAGUCGCGUGAAGGAUGACUGCCCUACGGGUUGUAAACUUCUUUUAUAAAGGAAUAAAGUGAGGCACGUGUGCCUUUUUGUAAGUACUUUAUGAAUAAGGAUCGGCUAACUCCGUGCCAGUAGCCGCGGUAAUACGGAGGAUCCGAGCGUUAUCCGGAUUUAUUGGGUUUAAAGGGAGCGUAGAUGGGUUGAUAAGUUAGGUGUGAAAGUUUGCGGCUCAACCGUAAAAUUGCAAUUGAUACUGUUAGUCUUGAGUACAGUUGAGGUAGGCGGAAUGCGUGGUGUAGCGGUGAAAUGCUUAGAGAUCACGAAGAACUCCGAUUGCGAAGGCAGCUUACUAAACUGCCACUGACAUUGAUGCUCGAAAGUGUGGGUAUCAAACAGGAUUAGAUACCCUAGUAGUC
rnacentral:rRNA from 1 species